CUACGGGGUGCUGCAGCGAGGAAUAUUGCACAAUGGGGGGAACCCUGAUGCAGCAACGCCGCGUGGAGGAUGACGCAUUUCGGUGUGUAAACUCCUUUUAUAUGUCAAGAAAAUGACGGUAGCAUAUGAAUAAGCACCGGCUACACUCCGUGCCAGCAGCCGCGGUAAUACGGAGGGUGCAAGCGUUACUCGGAAUCACUGGGCGUAAAGGACGCGUAGGCGGGUUGGAAAGUCAGGUGUGAAAUCCUACAGCUUAACUGUAGAACUGCACUUGAAACUUCUAAUCUAGAGUAUGGGAGGGGGAGAUGGAAUUAGUGGUGUAGGGGUAAAAUCCGUAGAUAUCACUAGGAAUACCUAAAGCGAAGGCGAUCUCCUGGAACAUUACUGACGCUAAGGCGUGAAAGCGUGGGGUGCAAACAGGAUUAGAUACCCCCGUAGUC
rnacentral:rRNA from 1 species